rnacentral:rRNA from 1 species
GACGAACGCUGGCGGCGCGCCUAACACAUGCAAGUCGAACGAGCGAGAGAGAGCUUGCUUUCUCAAGCGAGUGGCGAACGGGUGAGUAACGCGUGAGGAACCUGCCUCAAAGAGGGGGACAACAGUUGGAAACGACUGCUAAUACCGCAUAAGCCCACGGGUCGGCAUCGACCAGAGGGAAAAGGAGCAAUCCGCUUUGAGAUGGCCUCGCGUCCGAUUAGCUAGUUGGUGAGGUAAUGGCCCACCAAGGCGACGAUCGGUAGCCGGACUGAGAGGUUGAACGGCCACAUUGGGACUGAGACACGGCCCAGACUCCUACGGGAGGCAGCAGUGGGGAAUAUUGCACAAUGGGGGAAACCCUGAUGCAGCGACGCCGCGUGGAGGAAGAAGGUCUUCGGAUUGUAAACUCCUGUUGUUGAGGAAGAUAAUGACGGUACUCAACAAGGAAGUGACGGCUAACUACGUGCCAGCAGCCGCGGUAAAACGUAGGUCACAAGCGUUGUCCGGAAUUACUGGGUGUAAAGGGAGCGCAGGCGGGAAGACAAGUUGGAAGUGAAAUCUAUGGGCUCAACCCAUAAACUGCUUUCAAAACUGUUUUUCUUGAGUAGUGCAGAGGUAGGCGGAAUUCCCGGUGUGGCGGUGGAAUGCGUAGAUAUCGGGAGGAACACCAGUGGCGAAGGCGGCCUACUGGGCACCAACUGACGCUGAGGCUCGAAAGUGUGGGUAGCAAACAAGAUUAGAUACCCUGGUAGUCCACACCGUAA